rnacentral:rRNA from 1 species
CGAUGUCGACUUGGAGGUUGUGCCCUUGAGGCGUGGCUUCCGGAGCUAACGCGUUAAGUCGACCGCCUGGGGAGUACGGCCGCAAGGUUAAAACUCAAAUGAAUUGACGGGGGCCCGCACAAGCGGUGGAGCAUGUGGUUUAAUUCGAUGCAACGCGAAGAACCUUACCUACUCUUGACAUCCAGAGAAGUGCCUUCGGGAACUCUGAGACAGGUGCUGCAUGGCUGUCGUCAGCUCGUGUUGUGAAAUGUUGGGUUAAGUCCCGCAACGAGCGCAACCCUUAUCCUUUGUUGCCAGCGGUUAGGCCGGGAACUCAAAGGAGACUGCCAGUGAUAAACUGGAGGAAGGUGGGGAUGACGUCAAGUCAUCAUGGCCCUUACGAGUAGGGCUACACACGUGCUACAAUGGCGCAUACAAAGAGAAGCGACCUCGCGAGAGCAAGCGGACCUCAUAAAGUGCGUCGUAGUCCGGAUUGGAGUCUGCAACUCGACUCCAUGAAGUCGGAAUCGCUAGUAAUCGUGGAUCAGAAUGCCACGGUGAAUACGUUCCCG